rnacentral:rRNA from 1 species
UAGGGAAUCUUGCGCAAUGGGCGAAAGCCUGACGCAGCCAUGCCGCGUGAAUGAUGAAGGUCUUAGGAUUGUAAAAUUCUUUCACCGGGGAAGAUAAUGACGGUACCCGGAGAAGAAGCCCCGGCUAACUUCGUGCCAGCAGCCGCGGUAAUACGAAGGGGGCUAGCGUUGCUCGGAAUUACUGGGCGUAAAGGGCGCGUAGGCGGAUAUUUAAAGUUGGGGGGUGAAAAGCCCGGGGCUCAACCUCGGAAUAGCCUUCAAUACUGGAUAUCUUGAGUUCGGGAGAGGUGAGUGGAAUGCCGAGUGUAGAGGUGAAAUUCGUAGAUAUUCGGCGGAACACCAGUGGCGAAGGCGACUCACUGGCCCGAUACUGACGCUGAGGCGCGAAAAGCGUGGGGAGCAAACAGGAUUAGAUACCCUGGUAGUCCACGCCGCUAAACGAAUGAGUGCUAGUUGUCGGCAUGCAUGCAUGUCGGUGACGCAGCUAACGCAUUAAGCACUCCG